rnacentral:rRNA from 1 species
CCGUGGAGGGUCAUUGGAAACUGGGAGACUUGAGUGCAGAAGAGGAAAGUGGAAUUCCAUGUGUAGCGGUGAAAUGCGUAGAGAUAUGGAGGAACACCAGUGGCGAAGGCGACUUUCUGGUCUGUAACUGACACUGAGGCGCGAAAGCGUGGGGAGCAAACAGGAUUAGAUA